rnacentral:rRNA from 1 species
GAUGAACGCUGGCGGCGUGCCUAAUACAUGCAAGUCGAGCGAACAGACGAGGAGCUUGCUCCUCUGACGUUAGCGGCGGACGGGUGAGUAACACGUGGAUAACCUACCUAUAAGACUGGGAUAACUUCGGGAAACCGGAGCUAAUACCGGAUAAUAUAUUGAACCGCAUGGUUCAAUAGUGAAAGACGGUUUUGCUGUCACUUAUAGAUGGAUCCGCGCCGCAUUAGCUAGUUGGUAAGGUAACGGCUUACCAAGGCAACGAUGCGUAGCCGACCUGAGAGGGUGAUCGGCCCCACUGGAACUGAGACACGGUCCAGACUCCUACGGGAGGCAGCAGUAGGGAAUUUUCCGCAAUGGGCGAAAGCCUGACGGGGCAACGCCGCGUGAGUGAUGAAGGUCUUCCGAUCGUAAAACUCUGUUAUUAGGGAAGAACAAAUGUGUAAGUAACUAUGCACGUCUUGACGGUACCUAAUCAGAAAGCCACGGCUAACUACGUG